rnacentral:lncRNA from 1 species
UUUUUCUUAUUUUAUUUAUUUAUAUUUUAUUUGUUUUUUUAUUAUUAAAGCUAGGAUUUUGUUUUGUCUUUGUAAUGGCCAUUUUAGCCCAAUACAACUUGACACAUCCACUUUACUUAUAUUACCCUCCCUUGGCUUCUGGUUUUCAUUAUAUUGUAUGGGCGUGAUUUUUCUUGUACUCCCUUGGCUUAUAGUUUUCAUUAUAUUUUGACCAUUCUCUUCUG